rnacentral:misc_RNA from 1 species
GAUGAAGAACGUAGCGAAAUGCGAUAAGUAAUGUGAAUUGCAGAAUUCAGUGAAUCAUCGAGUCUUUGAACGCACAUUGCGCCCCCUGGUAUUCCGGGGGGCAUGCCUGUCCGAGCGUCAUUGCCGCCCUCAAGCACGGCUUGUGUUUUGGGCCCCCGCCCCCCGGCUUCGGGGGGCGGGCCCGAAAGGCAGCGGCGGCACCGCGUCCGGUCCUCGAGCGUAUGGGGCUUCGUCACCCGCUCUGUAGGCCCGGCCGGCGCCCGCCGGCGACCCCAAUCAAUCUUUCCAGGUUGACCUCGGAUCAGGUAGGGAUACCCGCUGAACUUAAGCAUAUCAAUAAGCGGAGGA